CCGGAAAUAGCAGAGACGUGGGCCAUGAUCACUUUUUUUUUUUUUUUUUUUUUUUUUUUUUUUUAGUGUUCAGCAAAUUUCAAAGACUGGGAGGGGUGGGGCAUAUUCCUAAGAAAGAGGAAACAGGGACAUGGAGGAAAUGAAACAGUGAAAGGGGAGGACUUAAGGAAGGGAUAAAGAAAGGGGCCUAUCAAAGGAUAGCCAACUUCCCCAGGCCUGUCUUGUCCCCAGUCACCAAGGCAGUGAUGCAGUGUAUCUCUGUGAGGGAAUAAGGUAACUAAGCUAACACCACAAUGACUGUCCUCCCUCUCUCUUACUCUCAACAUGCUGAGUUCUCUGAGAACUGCUUACCCCUCUCCAAGGAUGAAGAUGUGUGAUAUACUUACAGAGGGACCUGUAUCAGAAACUCAGGGAAAGCAAAGAGGGAUUAAUUGCCUUUUUUUCUUCCAGGACACCAAGCAGCUUGGUUCUGUGGACAAUGAGGCUUCAUGACUACCUGCAAACAACUAUGGGUGACAAGGUUACAAGGAUUUUCUACUUGUGGAUUUCAAUUCAACUGGAAAGACACCUCCUCAGGUCUCCCUACACUGCUGGAGUGGUUCUGCCAGCAUCUUCUAUCUUCCCAUCGUUGCCCUGGAUACCUGCCCAGUUCUCAUCCCCCACCUUCAAGAGAAGGCCGUAACCUUAGGCCUGGAACUGGAACUGGAGAGGAACCAAUGAGGCAAGGCCGGCAUAGCUUCAAGGAAUGAAGUCUGGGAAUGAAAAGAAAUCAGCUGCCCGGAAGCAAAUUGGCUGACUCUAACGAAGUUAAUCCAUGGAUAUUUGAUGAAGUCCAAACUAUCAUUAUAACUGUAAGUAUUUCAGCCCUAAGCAAUUUUCUGAUAACCUGGACAGAAGGGGAGUGAGUCAGGAUGGAUUUACUUCUAGAGCUAUGUAUGAGGGUGCAGGUUGGAGAAGGUCAAAGCCAGUCUGGGCUCCAUAUAAGUUCAGGGUGUGCUUUAACUGUAUAAUGAAACCCUGUCUCUAAUCUCUCAUAAGAAAACACAGACC
rnacentral:lncRNA from 1 species